GACGAGCGCUGGCGGCGUGCUUAACACAUGCAAGUCGAGCGGAAAGGCCACUUCGGUGGUACUCGAGCGGCGAACGGGUGAGUAACACGUGAGUAAUCUGCCCUUCACUCUGGGAUAGCCACCGGAAACGGUGAUUAAUACCGGAUACGACCACUCCACGCAUGUGGUGGAGGUGGAAACUUUUUUGGGUGGGGGAUGUGCUCGCGGCCUAUCAGCUUGUUGGUGGGGUAAUGGCCUACCAAGGCUUCGACGGGUAGCCGGCCUGAGAGGGUGACCGGCCACAUUGGGACUGAGAUACGGCCCAGACUCCUACGGGAGGCAGCAGUGGGGAAUAUUGCACAAUGGGCGGAAGCCUGAUGCAGCAACGCCGCGUGCGGGAUGACGGCCUUCGGGUUGUAAACCGCUUUCGCCUGUGACGAAGCGUGAGUGACGGUAAUGGGUAAAGAAGCACCGGCUAACUACGUGCCAGCCGCCGCCGUAAAAC
rnacentral:rRNA from 1 species